UACGUAGGCAGCGAGCGUUGUUCGGAGUUACUGGGCGUAAAGGGUGUGUAGGCGGUUGUUUAAGUUUGGUGUGAAAUCUCCCGGCUCAACUGGGAGGGUGCGCCGAAUACUGAGGGACUAGAGUAUGGGAUGGGAAAGUGGAAUUCCUGGUGUAGCGGUGAAAUGCGUAGAUAUCAGGAGGAACACCUGUGGUGUAGACGGCUUUCUGGACCAUAACUGACGCUGAGACACGAAAGCGUGGGUAGCAAACAGG
rnacentral:rRNA from 1 species